rnacentral:lncRNA from 1 species
UCAGGAUGGGAGCGGAAACAGAGCCUCUUGUUCACACUCCACACCCUCAUUUUCCAGCAGUGAGGGUAGACUAUUAAGGCUCUCAUGUCAUCAAGGAUCGAGGCAAUGGGUUAAUGGAGACUCUAGACAUUUGUUUCCUCACCAGUGAAAAUUAAAUGAAGACCCAGGAAUCACUACAGCUAUAGGGAUGAGAAGGACAUUUCAGCAGCUAGAGUGUGGUGGCCUCCUUAGCAGCUUCUUUUUCCAUCAAGAAAAUAUUUCUGGACAAAAACAAACCCAUAGCUGGUUGGAAGCAGGGCAUUGGGCCCAGUGUUAAAGAUUUGAAUAAGAAAGAUGCAGAAGAUAUUAAUCAUAGGCUUAUCAAUGCCCCUAGGAGAUCUGUCCCCCUGAUUGAAGCAACUCUGGCCUUUGGAAGUUCAUACCCA